AUUGAACGCUGGCGGCAUGCCUUACACAUGCAAGUCGAACGGUAACGCGGGGCAACCUGGCGACGAGUGGCGAACGAGUGAGUAAUGCAUCGGAACGUGCCUGGUAGUGGGGGAUAACUGCUCGAAAGAGCAGCUAAUACCGCAUACGACCUGAGGGUGAAAGGGGGGGAUCGCAAGACCUCUCGCUAUCGGAGCGGCCGAUGUCGGAUUAGCUAGUUUGUGGGGUAAAGGCCCACCAAGGCAACGAUCCGUAGCUGGUCUGAGAGGACGACCAGCCACACUGGGACUGAGACACGGCCGAGACUCCUACGGGAGGCAGCAGUGGGGAAUUUGGGACAAUGGACGCAAGGCUGAUCCAGCAAUGCCGCGUGCGGGAAGAAGGCCUUCGGGUUGUAAACCGCUUUUGUCAGGGAAGAAAUCUUCUGGGUUAAUACCUCGGGAGGAUGACGGUACCUGAAGAAUAAGCACCGGCUAACUACGUGCCAGCAGCCGCCGCCG
rnacentral:rRNA from 1 species